AUUGAACGCUGGCGGCAGGCCUAACACAUGCAAGUCGAACGAGUGGCGGACGGGUGAGUAAUGUCUGGGAAACUGCCCGAUGGAGGGGGAUAACUACUGGAAACGGUAGCUAAUCCCGCAUACCAUCGGAUGUGCCCAGAUGGGCUUAGCUAGUAGGUGGUGUAACGGCUCACCUAGGCGACGAUCCCUAGCUGGUCUGAGAGGAUGACCAGCCACACUGGAACUGAGACACGGUCCAGAAUCCUACGGGAGGCAGCAGUGGGGAAUAUUGCACAAUGGGCGCAAGCCUGAUGCAGCCAUGCCGCGUGUGUGAAGAAGGCCUGCGGGUUGUAAAGCACGUUCAGCGGGGAGGCGUUACCCGCAGAAGAAGCACCGGCUAACUCCGUGCCAGCAGCCGCGGUAAUAC
rnacentral:rRNA from 1 species